rfam:Gossypium arboreum cultivar AKA8401 contig_26712_1, whole genome shotgun sequence.
UAUAGGAGCAUGACAAAUCAAAAUUUUCUUCCUGAUUUUUUACUUUUUCCUCCUAAACAAAUUUAAAUCCAACUAAAAAUGCUAAAAUUAUGAGGAAAAAUUUGAUUUGUCAUGCUCCUAUU